UUGUUAAAACAUGUUUAGUAUGAGUUUUGUGGACUUAUAUCAGUGACUUAAAAUUUUAGCUUUUUAAAAAAACACGCAUAAACCUUUUUCUCUCAAAAAUACAAACAUGUACAUACAUGUAGCUCAUAUAAUAUUUUAGCCCAGUUUGUGCUGAACACAGUGGUAUGAGACACUUGCCAUUAUUAUGUUUUAAAGCAACUGAAAAAAGACCAAAUGUAAGAGCAUGUCAGAACCUCUGACAGUGUCCCAAAAUGGUCGGACCCCAGAGGGUUAAAUUAUACAUAGUGAUCAUCAGAGGACUUGGCUGAAACAACGCGAUUCACAUGGAUUACUUCGGCGAUGUUUUUAUUGUUGUUGCGAUUAACUUUUUGAAAUGUGAGCAGUUUUUAGUUCAAGUAUCAAGUGGAUCUGACAUCGAGGGGAAAUAUAACGUUACGUUUCUUGGAUUUCAUUAAAGUACCUCGGUUUUUGUUUGAAGAUGAAUGAGAGAACAUGAGGAAAUCAUAACAGCCUGUCUUUUUUUAGCACAGCAGCAUUCAAAUUGACCAAUCAGAGCCGAGAAUUUCUAAUAAGUCAAAGUAGAGAUGAACAGAUGAAGAUACGCCCCAUAAAAAUACUUAUUCUUGGUGAGUGCCAUGUAGUGACGGAUCAAACGGACACUUAUGUCAAGCUUGAUGAGGACACAGUCAAAGCUUUAAAAGACCUUGUGAUUAAGUCUUCAGUGUCUGAAUGGCAAGAAGAAGUGACCCUCCACUUAAACGUGACAUUUAAACUGCUCUGUGUUUUGGUUCAGCCAUUUGCAGGUUUAUCUCGAGUUAGCUCAAAUGCACUUCUGCAUUUUUCCCAGUAACUUUUUGUUUAGAGAAUUACAUUAUUAUGAUUAUAUGAAUAUUCAAUGGUUGCAUAUUCAUAGUGUACUUUUCAUAUUGAUGUAUAAAUGUUCCACAAUUUGAUAAAAGUAGCUCAUUGCAUUUCACUGAUCUUUGUUUUAUAUUGUAAAAUCAUUUCAAUAGCAGUAAAUACAUAUUAGUUGUUUCUUUAACAUUUAAUUAGUUGUUAAUGAUGGAAGAAACAGUAUCAUUUUAGAAUGAGUUAAAACAUGUUUUGGUGGCAAACAUGCAGGUAAAAUACUACAUAUAACAUUCUAAUAGUAUACUGUACUGUAAUUCAAAUGUCACAUACAGUACAUUAGAAAUUAUGUAUUUUAUGUAUACAAAUGUGUGGGUAAUAUAUUAUUAUUUCAUUUUGUAUGCUAUAUUAUUUAUGUAAUAUUAUUAUAUCUGAAAUUAUUAAAUUAUAUUUAUAAAUGU